GGGCUCACACAAGCGGUGGAGCAUGUGGCUUAAUUCGAAGCAACGCGAAGAACCUUAUCCUGGGUUUGACAUGUAUGGAUUAACUCCCUGAAAGGGGAGCCACGCCUUCGGGUGGAACAUACACAGGUGUUGCAUGGCUGUCGUCAGCUCGUGCUGUGAAGUGUCGGGUUAAGUCCCUUAACGAGCGCAACCCCUAUCGCUAGUUGCCAACGCGUAAUGGCGGGGACUCUAGCGAGACUGCCGGUGUUAAACCGGAGGAAGGUGGGGACGACGUCAAGUCCGCAUGGCCUUUAUGCCCAGGGCUGCACACGUGCUACAAUGGUAGGUACAGAACGAUGCAAUACCGCAAGGUGGAGCAAAUCGCAAAAACCUGCCCCAGUUCGGAUUGGAGGCUGCAACUCGCCUCCAUGAAGUUGGAAUCGCUAGUAAUCGGGGAUC
rnacentral:rRNA from 1 species